GCACCACCGCAAACAGAGAAGCAACCAUCGCCGCCAUUGCCGCAACAAGCAAACAGGAUUCAGCCAUAGCUGCCACCACCUAUAGAGGCAUAGUUUUGUUUUUUACUUGCUCAACAGUAUUCAAAGAAAUAUCUGCUAAUGUCUCUGGUUCGAUAUGGUGUUGUGACCUUAAAAUAAUGAUUUAAUUCAAUCCAACAACGUGUAAAGACAAAUUACACAAAUCAUGGGUUCUAAAAAAAACAUAUAUACUAGCUCUGAUACCACAUGUGACAGUAAUUUUGCAAACAAUCAAUAAAUACGAGA
rnacentral:lncRNA from 1 species